rnacentral:rRNA from 1 species
GUGAGGAAUAUUGCGCAAUGGAGGCAACUCUGACGCAGCCAUGCCGCGUGCAGGAAGAAGGCGCUACGCGUUGUAAACUGCUUUUAACCGGGAAGAAACCCCAGGACGUGUCCUGGGUUGACGGUACCGGAGGAAUAAGCACCGGCUAACUUCGUGCCAGCAGCCGCGGUAAUACGAAGGGUGCAAGCGUUAUCCGGAUUCAUUGGGUUUAAAGUGUGCGUAGGCGGAGCGUUAAGUCAGUGGUGAAAUCCUGCAGCUUAACUGUAGACUUGCCAUGGAUACUGGCGCUCUUGAGUGCGCUUGAAGUGGGCGGAAUGUGCCGUGUAGCGGUGAAAUGCUUAGAUAUGGCACAGAACACCAAUUGCGAAGGCAGCUCACUAAGGCGAUACUGACGCUGAGGCACGAAAGCGUGGGGAUCGAACAGGAUUAGAAACCCGGGUAGUCC